CUUCACUGUUGUUUUAAGUCAGUGUGUUGAGGGUGGAUCAGCAGGAAGAAGCGGAGCCCACCCAGGAGACCAGGGGAGACCACGUGGGCUGCAGACACCCCGUGCACCCUUCCUUAUGCGCUCAUCCUGAAUCAAGGCGCUUCCUGGGGACAGUUGGAUGAGGUGACCCAGAGGCUGGCUACGAGGGAACGAUUGCCUUCAAAUACCAGGUGUUCAAAAGCACAGGACACGGAAACUCUGGCAAAGAGAUGCUGCCAACUGCCCAGAGCACACCCCAGGCCCACACCCCAGGGGCCCCCACACCCCCUGUGGGGAGGGGCCCCCGGGAGAAGCAGCCUGACCCCAGGAACUCCUGUCCUCCUCUGGACAGCCCUGCACCUGAGGGAGGGGUUCGGAGCCUCAGGGAACCACCCGUGGAACCUAAGGGCUACCCCGCCUGGGCUCAUGACUCAGGCCGAUACCAAAGGGCAGUGAGCAAGAGCAGGCGGCCAGAGGGAGAGGUCUCCAUGACACAGGAGCCUUGAUAGGAGGUGGAGACCCAAAGAAGCUGCUCAACCUGAAGUAUUGGAUGGCAGGCCUGGCAAGGGGUGGAUGGUCGUGGGAAAUAGGACAGCACAGGGUGUGACCAUGGGAGCCAGCAGGGCCUCAGCAAGGCCUGCUGAGGACCAGGCUGCACCUUCCCUGGGACAGAGAGGGCCCCUCGCAGGAGGACCUGUGACUCCCUUCAGGGACAGAGGCAGGGCCAGGGCGAGGAACCCUGCUUCUGAGGCUUUCUUAAUCCCUUCAUGAUUGCAUGCCUGGGUGGGGUGUGCUGAGGCCCCCCACCAUCGGUCUCCAUACACAGGAAGAAGGCUCAGAGGACACCACAGGCCACUUGCAAGCACCAGCUCCCUGUCACUCAGGAGCCACCCGUGGGUGUGCUGCGCAGCAGCCGGGGGGAAGCCCACUCCUGACAGCCCUCGAGUAGGCACCGGGCCCUGCCCACGUGGCAUAGUGUGACCAGCGCAGGGCACUUGAGGUAGUCUCCCCCUGCACAGAAGAGCCGUGUGAGGCCCUCCAGAGAGAGGAAGGAUCCACUCCAGGAAGACAAGGAGAAGACAGUGGAAGCCGGAGGGCCAGUCACCGUCCAGAGACCCCGGGCUGCAGCAGUC
rnacentral:lncRNA from 1 species